GCAUCCGUGGAGUAGUAGUUAACUUAUUCCUCUCCCAUUUCCCCUGGUGGUCUAAUGGUUAAGGAAAGACCCGGGUGCAAAUCCCGGCGGAUGCA
rnacentral:tRNA from 1 species